UCCCUGGUGGCUCAGAUGGUAAAGCGUCUGCCUGCAAUGCGGGAGACCCAGGUUCGAUCCCUGGGCUGGGAA
rnacentral:tRNA from 1 species